rnacentral:misc_RNA from 1 species
GAUGAAGAACGCAGCGAAAUGCGAUACUUGGUGUGAAUUGCAGAAUCCCGUGAACCAUCGAGUCUUUGAACGCAAGUUGCGCCUCAAGCCAUUAGGUUGAGGGCACGUCUGCCUGGGCGUCACAUAUCGUUGCCUGAUGCCAGUUUCCUCGUGAUGGGUGACUGUGCAGGGCGAAUGAUGGCUUCCCGUGAGCAUUGUUGCCUCAUGGUUGGUUGAAAAUUGAGUCCUUGGUAGGGAGCGCCGUGAUAGAUGGUGGUUGAGUGACGAACGAGACCCAAUCAUGUGAGACCCCUUCCGAAUUUGGCCUUCAUGACCCACAUGCGUCUUUGGAACGCUCAUGACGAGACCUCAGGUCAGGCGGGGCUACCCGCUGAGUUUAAGCAUAUCAAUAAGCGGAGGA